AACAGUAUUCCAACAUAUUUGGUUGCGGAAAAGAGAAAAAUAUGCAAAUAAUUAAAUUAUUCUUUGUAGUCGCUUGUAUUGUUGCCGGUGCUAUGGCUGCUCCAGAUAAUUAUAAUGCUCAAGGUGUUCUUAACACCGGUUACUUGAACCAAGGUGGAAAAUAAUAUAAAUUAUGACAUUGAAUGUAAUUUCAAAUAUGUUCUAAUCAAACCAAAUGAGACUUGAAAAAUAAAAUUCAAUUAAAACAAA